UAUAACUAUUAUUAUAUAUAUAUAUAUACAGAAUUCAACUACUAUGCUCUUAAUGGGACAAAACCUUUUAUCCUAUCAAGUCAUUUCGGAUGAUCGAGAAUUUGAUUUAACAAUCAACUUCGUUGAACUUGAUCUAAAGUAUUUGAAGUGUUUAGAAACAAAGUUUAGUAGUUUUUUUAAAUUAUUAAGAAAAACAAUUGAAAUGCUUCAUUAUUGACUAUUUUUAACCGCCUAUAUAUAUGAGUUGUUAAUU
rnacentral:lncRNA from 1 species